GCUUGCUCUCGGGUGACGAGCGGCGGACGGGUGAGUAAUGUCUGGGAAACUGCCUGAUGGAGGGGGAUAACUACUGGAAACGGUAGCUAAUACCGCAUAAUGUCGCAAGACCAAAGUGGGGGACCUUCGGGCCUCAUGCCAUCAGAUGUGCCCAGAUGGGAUUAGCUAGUAGGUGGGGUAACGGCUCACCUAGGCGACGAUCCCUAGCUGGUCUGAGAGGAUGACCAGCCACACUGGAACUGAGACACGGUCCAGACUCCUACGGGAGGCAGCAGUGGGGAAUAUUGCACAAUGGGCGCAAGCCUGAUGCAGCCAUGCCGCGUGUGUGAAGAAGGCCUUCGGGUUGUAAAGCACUUUCAGCGGGGAGGAAGGCGUUAAGGUUAAUAACCUUGUCGAUUGACGUUACCCGCAGAAGAAGCACCGGCUAACUCCGUGCCAGCAGCCGCGGUAAUACGGAGGGUGCAAGCGUUAAUCGGAAUUACUGGGCGUAAAGCGCACGCAGGCGGUCUGUCAAGUCGGAUGUGAAAUCCCCGGGCUCAACCUGGGAACUGCAUUCGAAACUGGCAGGCUAGAGUCUUGUAGAGGGGGGUAGAAUUCCAGGUGUAGCGGUGAAAUGCGUAGAGAUCUGGAGGAAUACCGGUGGCGAAGGCGGCCCCCUGGACAAAGACUGACGCUCAGGUGCGAAAGCGUGGGGAGCAAACAGGAUUAGAUACCCUGGUAGUCCACGCCGUAAACGAUGUCGAUUUGGAGGUUGUGCCCUUGAGGCGUGGCUUCCGGAGCUAACGCGUUAAAUCGACCGCCUGGGGAGUACGGCCGCAAGGUUAAAACUCAAAUGAAUUGACGGGGGCCCGCACAAGCGGUGGAGCAUGUGGUUUAAUUCGAUGCAACGCGAAGAACCUUACCUGGUCUUGACAUCCACAGAACUUUCCAGAGAUGGAUUGGUGCCUUCGGGAACUGUGAGACAGGUGCUGCAUGGCUGUCGUCAGCUCGUGUUGUGAAAUGUUGGGUUAAGUCCCGCAACGAGCGCAACCCUUAUCCUUUGUUGCCAGCGGUUAGGCCGGGAACUCAAAGGAGACUGCCAGUGAUAAACUGGAGGAAGGUGGGGAUGACGUCAAGUCAUCAUGGCCCUUACGACCAGGGCUACACACGUGCUACAAUGGCAUAUACAAAGAGAAGCGACCUCGCGAGAGCAAGCGGACCUCAUAAAGUAUGUCGUAGUCCGGAUUGGAGUCUGCAACUCGACUCCAUGAAGUCGGAAUCGCUAGUAAUCGUAGAUCAGAAUGCUACGGUGAAUACGUUCCCGGGCCU
rnacentral:rRNA from 1 species